AUUGAACGCUGGCGGCAGGCCUAACACAUGCAAGUCGAGCGGAGCGGCGGACGGGUGAGUAAUGCCUAGGAAUCUGCCUGGUAGUGGGGGAUAACGUCCGGAAACGGGCGCUAAUACCGCAUACUAUCAGAUGAGCCUAGGUCGGAUUAGCUAGUUGGUGGGGUAAAGGCCUACCAAGGCGACGAUCCGUAACUGGUCUGAGAGGAUGAUCAGGCACCCUGGAACUGUGCCCGGUUCCAUACUCCUACGGGGGGCAGCGGUGGGGAAUAUUGGACAAUGGGCGAAGGCCUGAUCCAGCCAUGCCGCGUGUGUUAAGAAGGUCUUCGGAUUGUAAAGCACUUUAAGUUGGGAGGCGUUACCAACAGAAUAAGCACCGGCUAACUUCGUGCCAGUAGCCGCGGUAAUAC
rnacentral:rRNA from 1 species